GAUGAACGCUGGCGGCGUGCCUAAUACAUGCAAGUCGAGCGAACGGACGAGAAGCUUGCUUUUCUGAUGUUAGCGGCGGACGGGUGAGUAACACGUGGAUAACCUACCUAUAAGACUGGGAUAACUUCGGGAAACCGGAGCUAAUACCGGAUAAUAUUUUGAACCGCAUGGUUCAAAAGUGAAAGACGGUCUUGCUGUCACUUAUAGAUGGAUCCGCGCUGCAUUAGCUAGUUGGUAAGGUAACGGCUUACCAAGGCAACGAUGCAUAGCCGACCUGAGAGGGUGAUCGGCCACACUGGAACUGAGACACGGUCCAGAUUCCUACGGGAGGCAGCAUUAGGGAAUCUUCGGCAAUGGGCGAAAGCCUGACGGAGCAACGCCGCGUGAGGGAUGAAGUUCUUCGGAUCGUAAAACUCUGUUAUUAGGGAAGAACAGUUGUGUAAGUAACUGUGCACAUCUUGACGGUACCUAAUCAGAAAGCCACGGCUAACUACGUG
rnacentral:rRNA from 1 species